rnacentral:lncRNA from 1 species
GCUGACUCUCUUUUCAGACUCAGCCCACUUGCACCCAAGUGAAUUAACAGCCUUGUUGCUCACACAAAGCCUGUUUAGGUGGUCUUCUAUACGGACAUGCUUGACACUUGGUGCCAAAAUCUGGGCCAGGGGGACUCCUUCGUGAGACCGGCCCCCUGUCCUGGCCCUCAUUCCGUGAAGAGAUCCACCUGCGACCUCGGGUCCUCAGACCAGCCCAAGGAACAUCUCACCAAUUUCAAAUCGGAUCUCCUCGGCUUAGUGGCUGAAGACUGAUGCUGCCCGAUCGCCUCAGAAGCCCCUUGGACCAUCACAGAUGCCGAGCUUCGGGUAACUCUUACGGUGGAGGGAUCUGCAAUCAGAACUAUUGAACUUCUCCAUUCAGACCGCCACUCACACCUAUGGGAAAAGGGUGGCCUGCAGGAGCCAAGAAGUCUGGAGCAGCCGAAAAACCACAAAGAAGUGAAACAGCCAGUUCCUGCCUUAACUAAUUAACCCACCUUACGACAUUCCACCAUUAUGACUUGUCCACCAUUAUGACUUGUUCCUGCCCUGCCCCAACUGAUCAAUCAACCCUGUGACAUUCUUCUCCUGGACAAUGAGUCCCAUCAUCUCUCCACCAUGCACCUUGUGACCCCCUCCUCUGCUGAGGAUAACCACCUUUAACUGUAACUUUCCACGCCUACCCAAGCCCUAUAAAGCUGCCCCUCUCCUAUCUCCCUUCACUGACUCUCUUUUCGGACUCAGCCCACUUGCACCCAAGUGAAUUAACAGCCUUGUUGCUCACACAAAGCCUGAUUGGGUGUCUUCUAUACGGACACGCGUGACAGGAACCUCAACCCAAAGGCAGUCUGAUGAGGUGUCUAAGAUAAAAGUAGCGGCACAAAGGCUUUUGUAAACAGAGGCGUUUCAUGUGGUUUUCCUUUCCUUUCCUUAUAUGUGAAAAGGUGACAGAAAAGAAAUCUUCCUAAAAGAGUCAG